UGGGGAAUAUUGCACAAUGGGGGAAACCCUGAUGCAGCAACGCCGCGUGAGUGAUGACGGCCUUCGGGUUGUAAAGCUCUGUCUUCAGGGACGAUAAUGACGGUACCUGAGGAGGAAGCCACGGCUAACUACGUGCCAGCAGCCGCGGUAAUACGUAGGUGGCAAGCGCUGUCCGGAUUUACUGGGCGUAAAGGGAGCGUAGGCGGACUUUUAAGUGAGAUGUGAAAUACCCGGGCUCAACCUGGGUGCUGCAUUUCAAACUGGAAGUCUAGAGUGCAGGAGAGGAGAGUGGAAUUCCUAGUGUAGCGGUGAAAGGCGUAAAGAUUAGGAAGAACACCAGUGGCGAAGGCGACUCUCUGGACUGUAACUGACGCUGAGGCUCGAAAGCGUGGGGAGCAAACA
rnacentral:rRNA from 1 species